CCGCUGGGGGGUCCAGGUCUGCAGUGGUGCCAGCUCUGUGGCUGGAGGGAGAGACACCGGACACCUUGCUGUAGACAGUGCCCAGUGCCACAGGGUCUGUGGCCACAGCCUGGGGCUGCCUCUGUCCUCCUCUGCACACAAUGGCACUUCCCCAGUGAAAUACACGACGGCAUCACCAACUGGAAGAACCCAUGUGUUGCACCGAAAACCGGAGAGAAGCUGACAAAACUCCUGGGUUAUUGCAGAAACGAGUCUGCAGAUGACACUCCCAUUUGUCACCACCCUGCGUCUCCCUCCUGUGCUCUCCCGGAGCAGACUGUAAGAUUGGAGCUGGGGGGUCCAGGUCUGCAGUGGUGCCAGCUCUGUGGCUGGAGGGAGAGACACCGGACACCUUGCUGUAGACAGUGC